UAGUCUAACAAUACUAAAAGUUAAAUAACUAGAGCAAAGAGAGUGUACACGUCAUCAAAUUUAAUCGACCAAUAGGAACAAUUAUGUAGCCACGUCAAUAAUUUCUCAAGGCCGAAGAUAGUUAUUUUCCAGUUCUCUGAUUCAACGUGGCCCAUUAAGUCGACCCACUCUUUCACAUUUAAUAAGCUUCAUUACUCCUUACAAAGUCAGAGAUGUUAGCGUUCCGACUCCCAUUGUUCUUUGUUUAUAUAAACUAUACUUCUCUGAAUCUCUCUACUGUGUAUUCAAAACCCUUUCCUCUUCCUCUCAGCUGAAAUCUGUUCAAUCGCUCACUAGCACACACCUUUAGGGUUUCCAGUUCGAUUAAAGUACAAACGAAACAUUUUCAAACCCAUCCUUUGAUUUGUAUUCGGAUUGCUUUGAGAUUGUCGUCCAAGUUGUAGAUCUCAAGCCUAUCAGCAAUCGAUAUACGUAAGUUUCGAACUUUUGACUAUACAUCAGUGUUCAUCCUCUGAUACCAUCUCUGAGUUCACUAAUUUCAUCAUUAAAUUGGAUUGUAGUUUCACAAUCGUCUAUGAUUCCAUGGUAUCGAUCUGGAUUUACAUGUUCUUCUUGUGGUUUACAUGUUUAGCGCGAAUGAUGGAAAGACGAAAGUGAAAGCUAUGUUUACAGGUUCACUAACGCAUUAAAUCAUUCAUGGGAAGAUCCGGAAUCAAAGUCUGAUUCAUCUCCUCAGUUUCACUGUUAAUGGCAUCUCAAGCAAAUCGACAACGUAAAGAUCUUCUCUGCUGAUUUAACACAUUUUCCUCAGAUUAUUGAAAACCAACUGUUGUUAACGUCUGUGUGAUUUCCCUGUCUGCUUUGUUGUUUUCUUCACUUAUCGGUUGUAGCUCAGAUAUGGGAUUACUGCAUUGAUCUUUUAUAAGAGCCACUAACCCUACAACACAAUGCAAAAGCUGUGGAAUCUACGAGGAGAGACCACUUUUAUAUAUGAUUCAUUUGACGAAUGGGAGUUUUGUCCCUCUGAUUUCACAGCUGAGAGUAUAUACGUACACGUCAAGGACAAAAAAUUCAAUGCUACUUUUCUCUGCCAUGGAUGCCACACAAGUUGGGGAUGAUGAAGCAUCCAUCCAUGAAGUUUUCCCCGACAGUUUGUCUUGAAGUUUUCGUUGCCACACUGAAGACUCUCCAGCUACUGAGAGAGAUUUUUCUGAAGGCUCUAUCGGUCCCCAUGGACUACAACAUUUUCCAGGCUAAUCAAACAUG